rnacentral:rRNA from 1 species
GGCUCAGGAUGAACGCCGGCGGCGUGCCUAAUACAUGCAAGUCGAACGAGGUGCUUUUGUAGCAAUACGAAAGUAUCCUAGUGGCGAACGGGUGAGUAACGCGUUGGUGACCUACCCCAAAGUGUGGGAUAACAGUUCGAAAGGAUUGCUAAUACCGCAUGUGGUUAUCGGAUUUAGAAACUGAUAACUAAAGGAGUAAUCCGCUUUGGGAGGGACCUGCGUCCCAUCAGCUAGUUGGUGAGGUAACGGCUCACCAAGGCGACGACGGGUAGGGGACCUGAGAGGGUGACCCCCCACAAUGGAACUGAAACACGGUCCAUACACCUACGGGUGGCAGCAGUAGGGAAUAUUGCACAAUGGGCGAAAGCCUGAUGCAGCAACGCCGCGUGUGCGAUGAAGGCCUUCGGGUCGUAAAGCACUUUUCUGAGGGAUGAGCAAGGACAGUACCUCAGGAAUAAGUCUCGGCUAACUACGUGCCAGCAGCCGCGGUAAAACGUAGGAGGCAAGCGUUAUCCGGAUUCACUGGGCGUAAAGCGCGUGCAGGCGGUUCGAUAAGUUGGGCGUGAAAUCUCUUGGCUUAACUAGGAGAGGUCGUUCAAUACUAUCGGACUUGAGAGUGAUAGAGGAAGAUGGAAUUCCCGGUGUAGUGGUGAAAUGCGUAGAUAUCGGGAGGAACACCAGUGGCGAAAGCGAUCUUCUGGAUCAUUUCUGACGCUCAGACGCGAAAGCUAGGGUAGUAAACGGGAUUAGAGACCCCGGUAAUCCUAGCCGUAAACGAUGUAAACUUGGCGUCGGUGGCUUAAACUCCAUCGGUGCCGCAGCUAACGCGAUAAGUUUACCGCCUGGGGACUACGAUCGCAAGAUUAAAACUCAAAG